rnacentral:miRNA from 1 species
AUGCGGAUGGCAUACACGUCCA